rnacentral:pre_miRNA from 1 species
UGGAACUUGCAUGAACAGGCUGUACACACACGAUUCCGCCUUUUUUUUGCAAGUUACCACA